rnacentral:rRNA from 1 species
CAGUAGCCACGGGAAUACGGAGGGUGCAAGCGUUAAUCGGAAUUACUGGGCGUAAAGCGCACGCAGGCGGUUACUCAAGUCAGAGGUGAAAGCCCGGGGCUCAACCCCGGAACUGCCUUUGAAACUAGGUGACUAGAAUCUUGGAGAGGUCAGUGGAAUUCCGAGUGUAGAGGUGAAAUUCGUAGAUAUUCGGAAGAACACCAGUGGCGAAGGCGACUGACUGGACAAGUAUUGACGCUGAGGUGCGAAAGCGUGGGGAGCAAACAGGAUUAGAUACCCCCGUAGUCCCUGUCUCUUAUAC